rnacentral:rRNA from 1 species
GAGUUUGAUCGUGGCUCAGAUUGAACGCUGGCGGCAUGCCUUACACAUGCAAGUCGAACGGCAGCAUGAUCUAGCUUGCUAGAUUGAUGGCGAGUGGCGAACGGGUGAGUAAUACAUCGGAACGUGCCCUGUAGUGGGGGAUAACUAGUCGAAAGAUUAGCUAAUACCGCAUACGACCUGAGGGUGAAAGUGGGGGACCGCAAGGCCUCAUGCUAUAGGAGCGGCCGAUGUCUGAUUAGCUAGUUGGUGGGGUAAAGGGCCCACCAAGGCGACGAUCAGUAGCUGGUCUGAGAGGACGAUCAGCCACACUGGGACUGAGACACGGCCCAGACUCCUACGGGAGGCAGCAGUGGGGAAUUUUGGACAAUGGGCGAAAGCCUGAUCCAGCAAUGCCGCGUGUGUGAAGAAGGCCUCGGUUGUAAG